UACGUAGGCAGCGAGCGUUGUUCGGAGUUACUGGGCGUAAAGGGUGUGUAGGCGGUGCUCUAAGUGUGGUGUGAAAUCUCCCGGCUCAACUGGGAGGGUGCGCUACGAACUGGAGUGCUCGAGUGCGGGAUGGGAGAGUGGAAUUCCUGGUGUAGCGGUGAAAUGCGUAGAUAUCAGGAGGAACACCGGUGGUGUAGACGGCUCUCUGGACCGCAACUGACGCUGAGACACGAAAGCGUGGGUAGCAAACAGG
rnacentral:rRNA from 1 species